GCAGUGAUGGCCGAGUGGUUAAGGCGUCUGACUAGAAAUCAGAUGGGAUGUUCCCGCGUAGGUUCGAAUCCUACUCACUGCG
rnacentral:tRNA from 1 species